GACGAACGCUGGCGGCGUGCUUAACACAUGCAAGUCGAACGGAAAGGCCCUGCUUUUGUGGGGUGCUCGAGUGGCGAACGGGUGAGUAACACGUGAGUAACCUGCCCUUGACUUUGGGAUAACUUCAGGAAACUGGGGCUAAUACCGGAUAGGAGCUCCUGCUGCAUGGUGGGGGUUGGAAAGUUUCGGCGGUUGGGGAUGGACUCGCGGCUUAUCAGCUUGUUGGUGGGGUAGUGACUUACUAAGGCUUUGACGGGUAGCCGGCCUGAGAGGGUGACCGGCCACAUUGGGACUGAGAUACGGCCCAGACUCCUACGGGAGGCAGCAGUGGGGAAUAUUGCACAAUGGGCGGAAGCCUGAUGCAGCAACGCCGCGUGCGGGAUGACGGCCUUCGGGUUGUAAACCGCUUUCGCCUGUGACGAAGCGUGAGUGACGGUAAUGGGUAAAGAAGCACCGGCGAACUACGG
rnacentral:rRNA from 1 species